UAACAUGACUGGUCACAGGUGGGUCAGAUGUUAAUCUGAUCCAGACAUGCAACUUCUUGUAUUGUUUUAUUAUUUUCACCAUAUGCUAUCUGCAACUUCUCCCUUUAUAUUCUCCCUUUAUAUUUUACAGUGCAAUAGUAGUGCUUUCUGGACAGAACUCUGGAGCAGAAAUAAGAUAUCCAAUAGCAGGGAAAAAAUUGGCUGGGUAGGUUGAAAACCAAUGAAUAUGCAACUGCUGCUGAUAACUGCUUUGAGAUUUUUUCCUACAAUCAAGCAGUAUAUACAUUUUAUUAACUGCUGCUCUGCCUGCAAGGAAGAUGGAAACUGUGUGUCAAAGAAGGCUGUUUGCAAAUGCUGCAGAAAAUGCAACUUGAAAAAAGAGACAAUGCACAUAUUUUUGUAAACUAAGAAAUCUUUAAUAAUUUUUUUAAAAAAUGGGCUUUUGAAGCACCAUGAGUGAGAACGUCAGACUAUCUGGUACUCAGCGGGACACCAAACUGCACCCUUCCCUUCAAUAGAAUCAGACCACUGCAUGGCAAAUUAAUAUGUUUGCCACCUGAAGAACUAAAACACAGUGAGAAUGUUUGCAUUUUAUGAAGGAAUACAGGAAGGAGAGUUUGAGGAUAUAAAUCGGCCUGUUGCCCUUUCUUCCAUAAUGUCUCUGCUGUGUGGUGUUCCAAUAAUCUUCAUUUAGAAUUCUAACAUUAAAUACCUUCUUGAAAAGUC